rnacentral:rRNA from 1 species
UACGUAGGGUGCAGGCGUUAAUCGGAAUUACUGGGCGUAAAGCGUGCGCAGGCGGUCUGCUAAGUCAGUGGUGAAAUCUCGCAGCUUAACUGCGAAACUGCCAUUGAUACUGUAGGACUUGAGUAUAGUUGCUGUGGGCGGAAUAUGACAUGUAGUGGUGAAAUACUUAGAGAUGUCAUAGAACACCGAUUGCGAGGGCAGCUCACAAAACUAUAACUGACACUGAGGCUCGAAAGUGCGGGGAUCAAACAGG